AAAAUGCACGACAGAUUGAAACAAAAAAGUAUACUGCUAAAGCCCUGUUACUGUGAAUGCUAUGCUAUAUGCAUUUGAUAGAACAACAGUACAAAAUAUAUUUUGUACUAUGUUAUCAAGCACGUGCAUAUAUCCCUCUAGCUCUCAUGUUCCACCCCUAUUCUUUUUUUCUACACACCUUUCUCUAAAAUAGAAGACGACAUGUUUGAAAUGGUUGUAAAACUUAGUGGAGUUGCGUAGUUGGAUAUAUACUAUUUUGGGUUGACUUUCCAAAAACAGUGGAUGGAUUCUUAGUGUGUAUCAACGUAACGAAAUUGGGACUGGCAUGAUUAGAACCACCCUCCUAUUCAAACAUUUUCAAAAACCGUAUGAUUCUUUGCCAAAGGGAAACUCUCCCACCACAAUUCAAUGCCUCACUCAUGGUGCAAGAGAUGUGAAGUUAUUGCCUUUAACAUCGCAUGUUUACAUUACCAAGGAUAUUUUCUUUUCUUGACAUCUAAGGGACACAUGCAUGCCCA
rnacentral:lncRNA from 1 species